rnacentral:rRNA from 1 species
GUGUCAGCAGCCGCGGUAAUACGUAGGGGGCUAGCGUUGUCCGGAAUCAUUGGGCGUAAAGCGCGCGUAGGCGGCCCGAUAAGUCCGCUGUAAAAGUCCAGGGCUCAACCCUGGAACGCCGGUGGAAACUGUCGGGCUAGAGUCCGGAAGAGGCGAGUGGAAUUCCUGGUGUAGCGGUGGAAUGCGCAGAUAUCAGGAGGAACACCGAUAGCGAAGGCAGCUCGCUGGGACGGUACUGACGCUGAGGCGCGAAAGCGUGGGGAGCGAACAGGAUUAGAUACCCUGGUAGUCCACGCCGUAAACGAUGGGCACUAGGUGUGGGAGGUGUCGACUCCUCCCGUGCCGGCGCUAACGCAUUAAGUGCCCCGCCUGGGGAGUACGGCCGCAAGGCUAAA